rnacentral:rRNA from 1 species
ACACUCCUGCGGGAGGCAACAGUGGGGAAUUUUGGACAAUGGGCGAAAGCCUGAUCCAGCCAUGCCGCGUGCAGGAUGAAGGCCUUCGGGUUGUAAACUGCUUUUGUACGGAACGAAACGGCCUUUUCUAAUAAAGAGGGCUAAUGACGGUACCGUAAGAAUAAGCACCGGCUAACUACGUGCCAGCAGCCGCGGUAAUACGUAGGGUGCAAGCGUUAAUCGGAAUUACUGGGCGUAAAGCGUGCGCAGGCGGUUAUGUAAGACAGUUGUGAAAUCCCCGGGCUCAACCUGGGAACUGCAUCUGUGACUGCAUAGCUAGAGUACGGUAGAGGGGGAUGGAAUUCCGCGUGUAGCAGUGAAAUGCGUAGAUAUGCGGAGGAACACCGAUGGCGAAGGCAAUCCCCUGGACCUGUACUGACGCUCAUGCACGAAAGCGUGGGGAGCAAACAGGAUUAGAAACCCCUGUAGUCCC